UCAAGAAACUUCCACAAUGGGCGAAAGCCUGAUGGAGCGACGUCGCGUGAUGGACGAAGUGCUUCGGCACGUAAACAUCUUUUAUGUGGGAUGAAAUUAUUGACAGUACCACAUGAAUAAGGGGCUCCUAACUCUGUGCCAGCAGGAGCGGUAAUACAGAGGCCCCAAGCGUUAUCCGGAAUCACUGGGCGUAAAGGGUGUCGAGGCGGUUGUAUUAGUCGUUCGUAAAAUCUACGAGCUUAACUUGUAGGCGGCGAACGAAACGGUACGACUUGAGGUUUGGAGAGGUGCGUGGAACUCACGGUGUAGGGGUGAAAUCCGUUGAUAUCGUGGGGAACACCAAAGGCGAAGGCAGCGCACUGGCCAAAAUCUGACGCUCACACACGAAAGCUAGGGUAGCGAAGAGGAUUAGAUACCCGGGUAGUCCCUGAGCGGGCUGGCAAGGCGC
rnacentral:rRNA from 1 species